UAGUUGGUUUAUAUAUAGUUCCCCUUUCUCUAAUGUGUUGUUCAUUGUUACAUCUGUUCUGUAAUCUGUGUGUUAUCUUGCUGGCUGCAAACAAACCUACUUAAGGGUACAAAUAAACGCACGUGAACCUGAACUGUAAUCACAUUAUAUUAAUAAUUAAAUCAUUCUUUUUUAUUUUCAUUCUUGUCUAGAACGAACAGCAAGUUUUGAAUUGAUCGGGCUGGUCAUAGCGAUACUCUGCUUGGUGAUUUCUCUGAUUGGAAAUGUUUCUCUCAUUUGCUUCCAAACUCCGAGAGAAGAAAGUGAACAAUCUAAAGCUGCUGUCGUCCUGCAAUUAAACAGCGAGAGGGUGAAAAAUCAACAGGUAAAUCAUUUAAAGAUGUUCAUGUUGUCCUUAUGUUUUUGUCCAUUUAACAGCUCAUGUCUAUCUUUGCCCAGAUUGAUGAGGAGACUAAAGUUUACUCUGCUGUGGUCUUCACCAUGAGGAAAGAUAACCGUGGUGCAGUGAAGGAUGCAAAAGUAGCGCAGAGGAAAAGGAUGUGUGCUGCUGUGAAGGAUUUUGGUUUGAAUUAGUGAGUGAAAAGGUCUGUUUGGCUACAUUUGAUUUAGCUGAUUUUAGUUUGUUUAAAGCUUAAGAAAAUGCUGAUUACCUCCAAAUAUCUACACUUAGAUAACUUAAGGAGGUGCUAUGAAUAUUCUAUCACUCAGGUUGUGACUGUAUUGGUAUGUGUAUGCAAAUGAUAUUCUAUAAUUCAUAAUAAAAUGUAUUUGUCAAACCUCCUUGGAUUAAAGGACUGUAACAUUCAGGCUUA